GUCAUUGUGUUAUAUUACUUUUCAAAACAUUAUCUAUAUCGUAAAAUAUGAUUUAAAGCAUGCGUAUAUUCUUUUUUGACUUAUAGAGCAUAGCCUUAAACUUUUUAACUCUACACAAUAAUGGUACAUAUUUGUACAUAACUAUGAAAAACAAAUUUAUUUUACAUUUUCAAGUUACAAACAAAGUAUAACAUAUUUAUCAAUACACCUAAGCAUAGUCAAUUUUUUUUAUGCAUGGCUACCACUCUUUAUUCCAUGCAAUUUACAUAUAUUGUAUAAACUUCUCUCCCUAUAUUUCCCUUCACAUAUUUUUUUGAGCUUAAUAGAACAAGGCAAAGAAAGACAACAAUGAGGCACCGGCCAAGGACCCAACAACAGUCGUCGACGCACCAUUGAUAGGGCCAGGGGCCGGUGCAGGAACCUCAGUAGCAGCCAAUGUUGCACUCAUCGAGGCUGCGGCAACGAGAACAACACAUGUAACCUUCUUCAUGUCCAUGAUGUUGUAAUCAAAUAUGUGAACUUAGUAUAGAAAAAAAUUGUUUUUUUUUAUGGUAUUGUGUUUGGUUCAUGGGUCUUGGAAAGAAUGAGA
rnacentral:lncRNA from 1 species